rnacentral:misc_RNA from 1 species
UACAGAGGGUGCAAGCGUUAAUCGGAAUUACUGGGCGUAAAGCGUGCGCAGGCGGUUGUGUAAGACAGGUGUGAAAUCCCCGGGCUUAACUCGGGGACUGCGCUUGUGACUGCAUGGCUAGAGUACGGCAGAGGGGGGUGGAAUUCCACGUGUAGCAGUGAAAUGCGUAGAGAUGUGGAGGAACACCGAUGGCGAAGGCAGCCCCCUGGGCCGAUACUGACGCUCAUGCACGAAAGCGUGGGGAGCAAACGGG